CUACGGAGGGGGCUAGCGUUGUUCGGAAUUACUGGGCGUAAAGCGCGUGUAGGCGGAGCGUUAAGUCAGGGGUGAAAGCCCGGGGAUCAACCCCGGAACUGCCCUUGAUACUGGCGAUCUAGAGUCCGGAAGAGGUGGGCGGAAUUCCCGGUGUAGAGGUGAAAUUCGUAGAUAUCGGGAGGAACACCAGUGGCGAAGGCGGCUCACUGGUCCGGUACUGACGCUGAGACGCGAAAGCGUGGGGAGCAAACAGGAUUAGAAACCCUAGUAGUCC
rnacentral:rRNA from 1 species